CCCCUAGUAACUGCGAGUGAAGCGGGAAAAGCUCAAAUUUAAAAUCUGGCAGUCUUUGGCUGUCCGAGUUGUAAUCUAGAGAAGUGUUAUCCGCGCUGGACCGUGUACAAGUCUCCUGGAAUGGAGCGUCAUAGAGGGUGAGAAUCCCGUCUUUGACACGGACUACCAGGGCUUUGUGAUGCGCUCUCAAAGAGUCGAGUUGUUUGGGAAUGCAGCUCAAAAUGGGUGGUAAAUUCCAUCUAAAGCUAAAUAUUGGCGAGAGACCGAUAGCGAACAAGUACCGUGAGGGAAAGAUGAAAAGAACUUUGGAAAGAGAGUUAAACAGUACGUGAAAUUGCUGAAAGGGAAACGCUUGAAGUCAGUCGCGUURUCCAGGGAUCAACCUUGCUUUUGCUUGGUGCAUUUUCUGGUUGACGGGUCAGCAUCAAUUUUGACUAUUGGAAAAAGAUCAAGGGAAUGUGGCAUCUUUGGAUGUGUUAUAGCCCUUGGUUGCAUACAAUGGUUGGGAUUGAGGAACUCAGCACGCCGCAAGGCCGGGUUUUUAACCACGUACGUGCUUAGGAUGUUGGCAUAAUGGCUUUAAUCGACCCGUCUUGAAACACGGACCAAGGAGUCUAACAUGCCUGCGAGUGUUUGGGUGGAAAACCCGAGCGCGCAAUGAAAGUGAAAGUUGAGAUCCCUGUCGUGGGGAGCAUCGACGCCCAGACCAGACCUUUUGUGACGGAUCUGCGGUAGAGCAUGUAUGUUGGGACCCGAAAGAUGGUGAACUAUGCCUGAAUAGGGUGAAGCCAGAGGAAACUCUGGUGGAGGCUCGUAGCGAUUCUGACGUGCA
rnacentral:rRNA from 1 species